AAGGGCACCCGGCGCCCGGACUGCGCGGGUGGUCGGUGCGUAGGGGCGGAACCCCUGCCUAGAAGUUGCCUCUCGGGACUUCCAGCCCUGGUUUCGGAUUGCUGGAGGGCGAGAGCCCCGCGAAAACUUAAAACAAGGGUCUGGUAACAGACCCUAAAAUACUAAUGUAUCUAAGUAGAUCCAUUGUCUUUCUAAUUGAUAAGAAAUUAAACCUCUCUAAGGACUCCAAAAUUGCCCUCUAUGUUGAAAGCUUUUCCUAAAGUGAGAGGAAUUACUCGCUGAGCGAUCCUGCUUAAUUCUAUGUAAUGGACUGAGUCUUAAAAGACUUGUGCUGAAGUUUAGAAGAGAAAAAAGUUCUGUGCUUGGAGGUUUACUUAUUAUUAGAGCAAACUAGAUAAGCAGCCCCAAAAGCUAACCAUGGGGCAGUAGUAAACUAGGAAGCAUCACCAGUAAGCGUGAUGUUCGGGAGGAGAAUUCAGUGACAUCGGAAAACAGCUGUUAAAUAAGUGAAGAAAACAAACCCAUCAGAAUGUAAAACUGUUUAUACUACACGGUUUCAACUAUGGAAAAAAGCUACAUGUAGAAAAAUGCCUGGAAGAAAUAUGCAAAAAUAUCCCUGGGAUUAUUAAUCCCAGGUGAGAUUAUAAAUGAUUUUCUUUUCUACUUUGUAUUCUCCAGUUUUCCUACUGACAAGACAUUUUCACAUAUUGAGGUAUAUGGGGUAACUAUUUGGGUUCAAAACUGAUUCGGCUUGAACUAAAAAGCCUGACUUAUGCCCUGUCAAACAUACAUUGUACAUCUGCUUAACCAUUAAAGUAAAGAAUACAGUCUCUUAAAAUAAGAAUGCAUACUGCCCCUCUUACACCCUACUGGUAAUGCCCUAUUGGUAACGCCAUAUUGGUAAGGCCUGGACUAGUCCCGUCCCUGACGUCAAGGUCACGUUGACCUGCUAAUUUGCUAUUGAAUACCUCUUUGAAAUUUUGAUAAAAAUGGGUGUGUUUAAUGUAUGUUCUUUGUUCUAAAAAGAUAUGACUGUACUGAAAACCAUGCUUCUGGAACACUUUCUAAGGCCUUCCCGAGUUAUAAUCCUCGCUCUAGCUCAAGUAAACUCACCUUGUUUCUCUUAUCUAUAGAAUGGCUAUUGGUUGUUUUGCAUUGACAUUUCUUGGCAUAGUCAGCAGGGUUUCAGAGAAACCCACCAGAAACCACCUGGAAUCUACACUGAACUGGCAUUUGGGCCCAUUGAGUGCCCCCCACCGGAUCACUGCAUUGUUCGAGUGACCCUGAUUUAAGGGAAACUUUUUCUAUUUUCUCCUGAGCUAGCUAUGACUUAUGGCAACUUGGGAAAUUAUACCUUUGUAAGCAGAAUUGAAACAUUUAUCUUUUUCUCCCUGCCUGAUCCCUCCAGAAUUUGGAAACUCUCAGUGAUCUCCUGAAAUAUCUGGCUACAAAUCUACAAACUAGUGUUUUCAGUUUUUUCCAUAAUUUUCGUUUGGAAUCAAUUGAACCUGCCUAUUUUUUUUCCUGAAGCCUUGCAAACUGAAGCUGGUGGACUUAAUAUAAACUUAAGAGAGGUUCAUGUCUGUUGCCGUGUAAGCCACUCAGAAAGGUACCUGAAUACCCGAUGACAUCAUCAGAGACAUUUCGAACUGCAAAAGAUGCUUUGACUCUGACAUCUAGAAAUCUUUUUGACUGGCUGCCCCCUGGACUCAGAAAUUGGGUCUGACCAUUUGCUCCCACCAUUAACUUUGUUUUUCUUUUAUCUUAUUAAUUACCUGGCUACUUGCUUCCACAAUCUAGGCCUAACUUUGGGAGUCCACUUGCAUCACCGUCUUACUAAGAGACUUGUUCAAUAAGAUGAAACAACAGGAAAUCCCUCAAGAUUGAGGGAUUAAACAGUUAAAGGAGAAAAUUGAUACUGGCUCAACACAGGUUGACAUAAGUAAGGGAAGCCAUAUUGUAGAAAAGAAACCCUAUUGUAACUUUGAAUGACCUCUGAUUAACUAGCCCAGACAUGCUGUGUGGAUUUUAUGGCCCCUUCCAGCCACUAUAAGUUGAUAACUUUGUUCCCUUGAGUUCCUUAGGAAUGUGAUGACCCCUGGCAGAGAGUCUAUGCUGUUAGCCAUCAUCAAUGACAACUGAAAGAUCAGAGUAUAGAGCGUUGCUCCAGUCUCUGAUGCAUAUCAAGUAAAACAAAAGACUGCCAGGAACUAAGACCAAAUGCCUCCACCCAGUAAUCAGAUGGAUGCCCCCACCCUGGGACCAAAUGCCUCCCCCACUCAGAGACCAGCCCACUAUAUAACUGGCUGUAGUAUUUGUUCUGUAAGAUGGUUCUUUGAGACAUUAGUCGGCCGUCUUCCCCCUUGCCAGAAAGCUGUAAUAAACUGCCCUUUUUUUGCACCAAAAAAAAAAAAAGAGAGAAAAAUGAUGAGAGGUUAGGUAGCUGAUUCUUUUCACAGAGAGCUCCCAGACCUUAAGUAUCAUGGACCUGGAGAAUUUGUUUAUCAGAAGAGGCAUCAAAUAAAAGACUCUUUGCAGCCGUGUUGGAAAGGACCAUACCAGGUACUUUUAACCAAUUCAUACACUGCAGAAUCAGAAGGCCUAGACUGAUGGAAUCACAUUUCUUGUUUUAAAAAGAGGCUUUUCCACCUGAGUGGGUUUCAGUUCCUAUUUCUGAUACCCAGCUUCAACUGACCAAUGCAAAUGUCUCCAAACCAGGAUGAGAAGAAGAUGGCAUCUGUUGUAGACAGCUGUCCCAAGACCCCGGACCAGGCCUGUAUUC